CAUGCCGCGUGAGUGAUGAAGGCUUAGGGUUGUAAAGCUCUUUUACCUGGGAAGAUAAUGACUGUACCAGGAGAAUAAGCCCCGGCUAACUUCGUGCCAGCAGCCGCGGUAAUACGAAGGGGGCUAGCGUUGUUCGGAAUCACUGGGCGUAAAGCGCUCGUAGGCGGAUCUUUAAGUCAGAGGUGAAAUCCCAAGGCUCAACCUUGGAACUGCCUUUGAUACUGGGGAUCUCGAGUCCGGGAGAGGUGAGUGGAACUGCGAGUGUAGAGGUGAAAUUCGUAGAUAUUCGCAAGAACACCAGUGGCGAAGGCGGCUCACUGGCCCGGUACUGACGCUGAGGAGCGAAAGCGUGGGGAGCAACCAGGAUUAGAUACCCUGGUAGUCCACGCCGUAAACGAUGGAUGCUAGCCGUUGGACAGCUUGCUGUUCCGUGGCGCAGUUAACGCUUUAAGCAUCCCGCCCGGGGAGUACGGUCGCAAGAUUAAAACUCAAAGGAAUUGACGGGGGCCCGCACAAGCGGUGGAUUAUGUGGAUUAAUUCGAUUGCAGCGCG
rnacentral:rRNA from 1 species